ACCAACUCAGAGAACCCAGUUGUUCUUUUCUCCUCCGUCCAUGGGAUUUUCCAGGCAAGAGUACUGGAAGGGAAGUGACUGCAGAAGCCUCACCUAGGGCACUUCAGACCAGAGUUCCUCAUCAGAGAGCUCUGAGCCCAACUUCUCAGCUGGGAGCCAUGUGCAGAAGUGCUGCACACGACACCAUGAAGACCACAGCUGCAAGCAGUGUGCAGAGAGGCUGUGCGGGACACCUCAGCCCCGAGCUGGUGGGCCACAUGCAGGAGCGCUGAGCACAGCACUGGGGUUCCAGAUGGUGGCCGUAUGCGCUGACGCUGCGCCCAGCACUGCAACCAGAGCCCUGAGCAGCACACCUACACUCACCCUCUCAGCCUCUAUAAAGCAACCCCAUCCCACCACUGGUCGGGGAGAGCCUGUGAUCUACAGCAGGAGCCUCCACCUCUCCAUUCUCUGAUCAAGGCUUUCCUUUGCCUCAGAACCAAACUCAGGCUUGUUCUACUGGCAUGAGCAACACCAGGCAGGAGGAUACUUGUUGGCAUGGGACUCAAGAAUGUCAGUAACUCCUUAGCCGAUGGCAAAGCAUUGAACUAACAAUACGUUCAGGCUCUCCCCUGUUUCACUGAAACCACUUUUGGAAUGAAAUACUCCACUAGAUGAUAAAUACUCCACUAGAUGAUAUCCUUGGGCCUGAUACUGUCACUGCUUAAACUGGC
ensembl:lncRNA